AACGAACGCUGGCGGUAUGCCUAACACAUGCAAGUCGAACGACACCAUCGGGUCUAGUUGCGCACGGGUGCGGCACGCGUCGGAAGCUGCCGUUAGGUUCGGGAUAACUCUGUUACGUUUGGGCUAAUGCCGGGUGAUUUAUGCUGACAAAACAUUUAACGACCUGAUUUGGGCCGGCGUUGGUUUAGCCUGUUGGGGGGGUAAAGGCCUACCACGGCGUCGCUACAUAGCUGGUCUGAGAGAAUGAUCAGCCACACUUGGACUAAGACACGGUCCGGACUCUUACGGGAGGCAGCAGUGGGUAAUAUUGGACUACCGGCGGAAGCCUGAACCAGCUAUGCUGCGUGAGUGAUGAAGUCCUUAGAGUUGUAAAGCACUUUUAUCCGACAUGAUAAUGACAGUACCGGGAGAAUAAGCUCCGGCUAACUUCGUG
rnacentral:rRNA from 1 species